CUAGUAGCCGCGAACAUCUUAUUCCUGGAUCAACCUUCCUAGGCUUCGAUGGUGAUUACGGGAGCUCCCAUGGCUUAGAAGUUGCAGCUGGAAGGAGAAGGGACGAAACACCACUCGGCCGAGAUUCCCUCAGAGAUGCUGUUAACCUUCUCGCUACUUCCGGUAACACACGUCUAACGGUUUGCUACGAUCUGAUCAUGCCCAUUACAUUCCCUCAGAGCUGCUGUUAACGAUCUCGCUUCUCAAGAUAACACACGUGAAAGGGCGAGAUCACUACUCGUCGUGGUUCAAAUGAUCGCUGAAUCUAUAAGAUUUGAAGAUAUCUCCAAUUUUCUCUUUGAAAAUUACGAGGGUAGUGGUGGUAUUCCCGAAGAACG
rnacentral:lncRNA from 1 species